AAAGGAAUUGACGGGAGCCCGCACAAGCAGUGGAGUAUGUGGUUUAAUUCGAUGCAACGCGAAGAACCUUACCGGGACUUGACAUCCUGAGAAAGCGGAGUAAAAUCUGCCGUGCCCCUUCGGGGGAAUUCAGAGACAGGUGGUGCAUGGUUGUCGUCAGCUCGUGUCGUGAGAUGUUGGGUUAAGUCCCGCAACGAGCGCAACCCUUACGGUUAGUUGCUACGCAAGAGCACUCUAGCCGGACUGCCGUUGACAAAACGGAGGAAGGUGGGGACGACGUCAAAUCAUCAUGCCCCUUACGUUCCGGGCUACACACGUACUACAAUGGCGUAAACAGAGGGCUGCGAAGGCGCGAGCCGGAGCUAAUCUUUUAAAAUACGUCCCAGUUCAGAUUGCAGGCUGCAACUCGCCUGCAUGAAGUUGGAAUUGCUAGUAAUCGCGAAUCAGAAUGUCGCGGUGAAUACGUUCCCGGGCUUUGUACACACCGCCCGU
rnacentral:rRNA from 1 species